UACGGAGGGUGCAAGCGUUAUCCGGAUUCACUGGGUUUAAAGGGCGCGCAGGCGGCCAUUCAAGUCAGAUGUGAAAGCCCCGGGCUCAACCUGGGAGGUGCAUUUGGGACUGGAUGGCUUGAGAUCGGGAGAGGAGAGUGGAAUUCCCAGUGUAGAGGUGAAAUUCGUAGAUAUCAGGAAGAACACCGAUGGCGAAGGCAGCUCUCUGGGGACGGUACUGACGCUGAGACGCGAAAGCGUGGGGAGCGAACAGG
rnacentral:rRNA from 1 species